UGGGGAAUCUUGCACAAUGGGCGAAAGCCUGAUGCAGCAACGCCGCGUGCGGGAAGACAGCCCUAGGGUUGUAAACCGCUUUCAGCAGGGAAGAAACUGACGGUACCUGCAGAAGAAGAUGCGGCCAACUACGUGCCAGCAGCCGCGGUGACACGUAGGCAUCAAGCGUUAUCCGGAUUUAUUGGGCGUAAAGAGCUCGUAGGCGGUUCGGUAAGUCGGGUGUGAAAACUCUGGGCUCAACCCAGAGAGGCCACUCGAUACUGCUGUGACUAGAGUGCGGUAGGGGAGCGGGGAAUUCCUGGUGUAGCGGUGAAAUGCGCAGAUAUCAGGAGGAACACCAGUGGCGAAGGCGCCGCUCUGGGCCGUAACUGACGCUGAGGAGCGAAAGCAUGGGUAGCAAACAGGAUUAGAUACCCUGGUAGUCCAUGCCGUAAACGAUGAGUGCUAGAUGUUGGGAUUUUCGGAUUUCAGUGUCGCAGCUAACGCA
rnacentral:rRNA from 1 species